rnacentral:rRNA from 1 species
UACGUAGGGGGCAAGCGUUGUCCGGAAUCAUUGGGCGUAAAGAGCGUGUAGGCGGCCAGAUAAGUCCGCUGUGAAAUCUCGAGGCUCAACUUCGAGCUGUCGGUGGAAACUGUCUGGCUAGAGUCCGGAAGAGGAGAAUGGAAUUCCUGGUGUAGCGGUGAAAUGCGCAGAUAUCAGGAAGAACACCCGUGGCGAAGGCGGCUCUCUGGGACGGUACUGACGCUGAGACGCGAAAGCGUGGGGAGCGAACAGG